AUAAUAAACUGUACGGGAAUUGGUCCUUCAUUAUGUGCAGCAGACUCGCAUAAAUAAACCAUUAAAUUAAAAUUAUUUUAUAAACAAAAUCAUGAAAAUACUUCACAUAUUAGUGAUAACGCUUCUUUUCUGUGUAAGUUUAUAUGAAGCAAAUCCCAAACCAAAACCGUGCUGGCCGAAGCAAUGCACUGAGAGAAGAGUAUGUAGGCGUAUAGUUAUAGGAAAUGGUUCACGCAAUACAAACAAUGUACGUAUCGAAAGAAAUCAUUAUCAAUAAAAACAGUGACGAAAUGUGAACUUGAAUAUUUAGAUUGCAGUAGAAGUGCUGGUAUCUAGAGAUUAUUAAAAGUAAUAUACUAA